AUUGAACGCUGGCGGCAGGCCUAACACAUGCAAGUCGAGCGAGCGGCGGACGGGUGAGUAAUGUCUGGGAAACUGCCUGAUGGAGGGGGAUAACUACUGGAAACGGUAGCUAAUACCGCAUACCAUCAGAUGUGCCCAGAUGGGAUUAGCUAGUAGGUGGGGUAACGGCUCACCGAAGCAACGAUCCCUAGCGGGUCUGUGAGGAUGAACAGCCACGCUGGACCUUGGACACGGUCCAGAAUCCUACGGGAGGCAGCAGUGGGGAAUGUUGCACAAUGGGCGAGAGCCGGAUGCAGCCAUGCCGCGUGUAUGAAGAAGGCCUUCGGGUUGUAGAGUACUUUCAGAGGGGAGGCGUUACCCGCAGAAGAAGCACCGGCUAACUCCGUGCCAGCAGCCGCGGUAAUAC
rnacentral:rRNA from 1 species